rnacentral:lncRNA from 1 species
UCGGUUCCUUAAAUUGGUGCUGUCAUUGAGUGAGAUUUAGUGCAUGUUUGGCUCUGCAAUGAAAUAUAAUACUGUUUAAUCGUAGAAUCAAAGUAUCAAAUUAGAGUUGUGUUUUUUUGGAUUCGGAAUCUUAUUGCUUUUUUUCCGUUGCAAUAAAAAUUUUAAAAUUUUCUCAUUAUCAAACGUUUUGAUCAAUACUAUUAUAACUAAAAGUAACAGUAGAAGCAGAAUUAGUUUCAAACAGUCUCUUAGCUUUUUUUCAAAUCUAAAAGUUAUUACCUUUAAAAAUAGUAUACAGAUUAAACGGCGAAAACUGAUGAUGACAUUAAACCAUAUU